rnacentral:lncRNA from 1 species
GCCAGGCUAUCUUGUACAUCUGUAAACAGAUCCAGGGGGCCCAGGCUAUCUUGUAUAAUCUCUAAACAGAUCAGGGGGCCAGGCAUAUCUUGUAUCAUCUCUAAACAGAUCCAGGGGGCCCAGGCUAUCUUGUGUCAUCUCUAAACAGAUCUGGGGGCCAGGCUAUCUUGUAUCAUCUCUAAACAGAUCUGGGGCCCAGGUUAUCUCGUAUCAUCUCUAAAACAGAUCUGGGGGCCCAGGCUAUCUCGUAUCACAUCCUAAACAGAUCAGGCGGCCCAGGCUAUCUGUAUCAUCUCUAAACA